rnacentral:misc_RNA from 1 species
CUGCCAACUGCCAUGUUCUGAAAUAGUGGUACGGGAGGUAAGGGUCCAGUAAGGUUAUUAUAUGAAAAGUUGCACCCAAGUAAACUUGAAAGAUUUUCAAAUGUUUCUGGAAUUUCACCAGUCAAAUNNNNNNNNNAAGAGGAACUCCAACAAAUUAAGAUUGCCCAGUUCUGGCGGUAUGCUUCCAGUCAGAUUAUUAUUACUGAGAUUCAUUGCAAUCUGCAAGCUUGAAAGAGAAC